rnacentral:rRNA from 1 species
UGGGGAAUAUUGGACAAUGGGCGAAAGCCUGAUCCAGCAAUGCCGCGUGAGUGAUGAAGGCCUUAGGGUUGUAAAGCUCUUUUACCCGGGAUGAUAAUGACAGUACCGGGAGAAUAAGCCCCGGCUAACUCCGUGCCAGCAGCCGCGGUAAUACGGAGGGGGCUAGCGUUGUUCGGAAUUACUGGGCGUAAAGCGCGCGUAGGCGGCUUUGUAAGUUAGAGGUGAAAGCCCGGAGCUCAACUCCGGAACUGCCUUUAAGACUGCAUCGCUAGAACGAUGGAGAGGUAAGUGGAAUUCCGAGUGUAGAGGUGAAAUUCGUAGAUAUUCGGAAGAACACCAGUGGCGAAGGCGACUUACUGGACAUCUGUUGACGCUGAGGUGCGAAAGCGUGGGGAGCAAACAGG